CACACUUUCCCCAGACCAGAGCAUCUGAGUUGUCUGAAUCAGGUUCCACUCCUGUCUGUGUCUACAUGAGAGAUGAGGUGAGUGGUGAGGCAGCUCUAAAGAAGGCCAGUCUGAAGUCUCUGGGACUCACAGGAGGAAGUGCCAUAGUCAGGUUUUUACUGAAGAAGACCAAAUCGCCAGGCAACGCAGACGAUGACGGCAUGGAGGCUGCUUCCACGGCA